rnacentral:rRNA from 1 species
GCGUGAGUGAAGAAGGCCUUCGGGUUGUAAAGCUCUUUCGGCGGGGAAGAUGAUGACGGUACCCGCAGAAGAAGCCCCGGCUAACUCCGUGCCAGCAGCCGCGGUAAUACGGAGGGGGCUAGCGUUGUUCGGAAUUACUGGGCGUAAAGGGCGCGUAGGCGGCGCGGCGAGUUGGGUGUGAAAGGCCCGGGCUCAACCCGGGAUGUGCGCUCGAUACUGCCGCGCUGGAGUCCGGGAGAGGAUGGCGGAAUUCCCAGUGUAGAGGUGAAAUUCGU